CUCUUUCUCUCUUUCAAAAUUUUACCGGGCUUGACAGUUGUCUAACCAAAUGCAAACACCGAUACCAAUUGUACAGUAUUGUGGGUUACAGAAAACCAAGAAACAGCGAUUUGCCAGGAUACAUUUUCUUCAGUGGUGUUGUAUUGAAUUUAUAUCAACAAAAGAUGGCGCAAAACUCCAGCUGCUUCGAGUGACAAACAACUUAUUAACUAAAACCGCUGGAAAACUAGUUUAACUUAUCACUUACAGACUCGCUGAUCAAUCGAAUAAGCAGGAAUAAUAAAACUAAUGAUGAACAAUUUUAUUUGCGUAAAUACUGAGAAAGAUAACGUCCGGAUUCAACAACGAGAAUGUCUGCAUUCGGUCAGCUGUCUGCUAGUUAAGCAGUCCUGACCUAGACCAAGGUAACAUUACAAAAGUCCGAUUAUGUUCGACAUUUUUUGGACCUUUUUGUGCGGAAAUCGCCUAUGCAAAUGCAUGGCAGUCUUAUUUCAGUGCGUCUACGGACUAGAAAACAUAGAAAUCAAUAAUUUACUAUUUAGAAUAUUAAAUCUCUUAUCCAGUUUUAUAGAUAGUAAUUUGCAAAACUAUAUGUCCUAUAAUUUACCAGUUUGACUAGUUUUUAUCGCACAGUAUGAUUUACGAAUUUACACUACCUUUGGGGCUAAUACUGGUUGCAAUCAACUUAUAGUUUACAGAAUAGUCUGUAUACUUCAUAGUUAUACCCAUUGGUAUUAAUUUAGCCGUAUGUACAAUAACACUUCAAUCUUGGUGUUAAAAUAUUCAAAACUUAUCUCUGUUAUAUAAAUAUAUGCGAAUAAAUGUUUAAAACAUUUC